AAAUUUUAUUUAGAGCAUGAUGAACCCAGCCGUUAGCAGGAAGGCGGCACAACAACGUCAGCGGCGCACCUACAGAGUGAGAAGAGAUAUUUUCGCUGAGUACGACGAUGCUGAGUUACUGAAAAGAUUCAGAUUGGACCGUGCUGGUAUUGUUGCAGUGACUGAUAUAGUGAGAGACAAGCUGCAAAGUAAAACUGAAAGAAAUAGAGCCUUGACCCCCUGAGAUGGUGGCCAUCACAUUACGAUAUUUAGCCACAGGAAAAAUGCAACAGUGCAGUUGUGAUGAUUUUGGAACAACGCAGCCCACUAUCAGCCGUGCAAUAUCACAGACAAUUGAUGCACUGGCUGACCCAGAAGUAAUCUGCCAGUUCGUGGCUUUCCCUCACACCCAGCGUGAAGUGCAGCAAAAACAGGCAGAGUUCAUGCAAGUAACUCAGUUUCCCGGUGUUGUGGGAGUGAUUGAUGGCACUCAUAUAAGAAUUGUGUCUCCUCAUGUCGAUGAACAUGUAUAUGUGAACAGGAAACGCUAUCACAGCAUAAAUGUGCAAGUAGUAUUUGAUGCUCACUAUAAGAUUCUUGACAUUGUGGCAAGGUGGCCUGGCUCAGUCAACGAUGCAAGAAUACUAGAUAAGUCAGCACUCAAACUGAUGUUUGAGGAACAACAUGUACCUGCAGGAUGCUAUACCUUCCCGGGGACAGUGGCUAUCCCUGUAAGCAGUGGCUCCUCACUCCUUACCUUCGCCCUCAAACUGUUGCACAAGCUAAUUAUAACAGUUCCAGUACCUUACGAUGCAGCCGAGGGGACUGACGCCACCACCACCACUGCCACCACCGCCACAACAAGGGUUAUUCAAAUGGGGAACAUGCUUCAGGUGUUGCCCCAAGAUGCCUCAGCCCCGCAGCCCCCACUUCCCCAUGAUAGUGCAGGCAGGGAAUGUCAUACAGGUUGUUCCAGCUGACAACACGCAGGUAUUAGGGGCAGAAGUCGUUGGAGUUGGUCGGGUCAUGCAAGUGGUCGGAGUCCCAGGCUUUCCCCCGACCCCAGCCCCAGACCCCUGCCCCCAGCCACCCCUCUCCCUGUGACCCCUGCCCAGUCAUCCCUCACCCCCUCCUGCCCCCCCUGCGGUGCUGCCAGCGGGGGGGGUGAUGGGAGGUGGAGGUGGGCCACACACACCUGGGUUAGCUGUGGCUUGGCUUAUCUCCCUCCUCAGCAGCAAAUCCCGAGGAUCAACGAGGACAUGGUGGACCCCAAGAGAUUGCAGCAGCAGCAAGAGAGAGAGAGAGAAGCAAGAGAGGAGGGAGAGGAAGGAGAGGAGGAGGAGAGAGAGGGAGGCCAGGAGGGAGGCACGUCAGAGAGAGAGGGAGAGGAAGAGGUUGAUUCUGUUACAACAACAACUGCAACAACAACAACAGUUAGUCAGUGAGGAGGGGGAGGGGCCGUCCUCUGAUGCUGAGGAUGAGGUAUUGUUCAGGGUAAGUAGUAGUAGUAAUGCAUCAUUUUUAAACUUUCCGAGAUAAUCUUAUUUCAACAGGUAGAGAUGAAAAAGUCCUCUAACUGACAAAAAAAAAACAUUAUCUAUUUAUUUUGUUAUGUAGGCCAGCCAGCCGUGGGGGGGGACAAAACUUCAAUAAAAGAGACUCUCUGAGGUGUGGCUCCCCAAAAUAGAAUUGCAAAUGGUAGCCAGAAUUUACAUGAAUACUGGAGGGUGCUGUCAGGCCAAACCAGCUCCCCAUCUGUGCCUAUGCAGUGUCUGGCCAGCCACUAGUGUGUUUUGGGGGCUCAGACCAGCAGAUUCCCACUGUUUAUUCACUGUUUGUGUUGAUGCAGUGUCUGGCCAGCCACUUGUGUGUUUUGGGGGCUCAGACCAGCAGAUUCCCAGUGUUUAUUCACUGUUUGUGUUGAUGCAGUGUCUGGCCAGCCACUUGUGUGUUUUGGGGGCUCAGACCAGCAGAUUCCCAGUGUUUAUUCACUGUUUGUGUUGAUUUAGUGUUUGGCCAGCCACUUGUGUGUUUUGGGGGCUCAGACCAGCAGAUUCCCACUGUUUAUUCACUGUUUGUGUUGAUCUAGUGUUUGGCCAGCCACUUGUGUGUAUGUAGGGGACUCAGACCAGCAGAUUCCCACUGUUUAUCCACUGUUUGUGUUGAUGCAGUGUUUGGCCAGCCACUUGUGUGUUUUGGGGGCUCAGACCAGCAGAU